GUCUGCAGUUGGAUAUUCUGGUUAGUCUGCAAGCCUUUGACUAUUCAGUGUAUGGAUUUGUGAAGUACACACUGCUGGCUACCAAUUGUGUACUUUUUUUUUCUGUUGUAGAGAUGGAAAGACUAUGGCUCCCUGCAUUUGAGGGCAUGAGCACACAGGAGGAAGAUCUGUUGGACCAGGAACUACUGCAGGAAGACCGGGACCACCAGGAGAUGGAGGAUGAGAUGGAACCUGAUCCCCAGCCAAGACCAUCAACUGGGUAUAUAUGAAUGUAAUCAUUUUUUCCCACAUGACCAGACUCAACUCGUCUUCUGAGAUUAUAAAAGCAUCCUGCAAGACUUAUAAUGAGACUAUGAGGAAGAAGUAUUCCUAUGUUCAUCCUGGAAGAGGCAGAGCUGAGAGACUCAAUCAAGAUUAUGGCAGAGAGAGAGGAGUAAAUUUAAAAUCGAUUAUACAGUUAAUGUUUCGCGGUUGCUGGAGACCAGGUCAACAGAGACAGACACAGGCGUAUUGUGUAUUCGGUCACACUUUAUAUUAGGUGUCCUUAACUACUAUGUACUAACAUUAAAUACAUACAAGACUAUGUAUUUACUGUGUAACUACAUGUUGUUCUGCAAAAUUCCCACAUUUACUGCUA